UCACUGGGGCAAGUGGAAGGGGUACACACGGCAAGUAGACAAGAAACUCCUGCUGCUCUGACAGUGGAGUGAGAAAGAGAAAAGAUUAGGGAAGGGAAAAGAGAGUGACAGAAGAGCAUACUGUAUCUAUUUUUCCUUAGGAGAAAAAGCAAGAUCCUAUGUGAAGAAAAGCAGCAGAGGGAAAAAGAGGGAAGAGUUUGAGCAAUGAUUUACAGGGGCAACUGGGAUUUAAUCUGGGGAUUCAAUUAAGUUGGAGAAUACAGCUGUUUUCUAAAAAGAUGGCAGGACUGAAAGUAAAAAAGGCUUUGUAAUGAAAAAGACUGUCUUGGUCUCAGGAUAUUCACCAGAGAUACUCCACAGUAUGAGAGCAGAAGCAAAUAUCUGGGAGUUCACAAAGCAGGCUCUGCAAUGGAAGUGUUUAAUUCUAAGUAUGUGCUUAAAUCUUUGCUGAAUCAAGGCCAGACAUUUUAGUAGCUUAACUACAUCUUUAGCAUGCAGUCAAAGAACGGAGCCCAUGCAACCAGAGGUGGAAAGAAGGACCUGCAAUAAGUGAAGGUAUCUAUACAGCUGCUUUAGGAACACACAGCUUGUUUCAGCAAGAGUUCCAGAGCCAGAUCCACAGCUGCUACCACAGCUGGAAGCACGGAGCCUCCUGAGAAGCCAGUUGCAGACUCAGAUGCUGCUGUUUCCUGUUUAUUAUUAUAGUGUACAAAAAAUGGGUAAAAUUUGCUAUAAAGUUAUUCCUAAGGAAAAUGUCUCCUCUUACAUAGUGCAAUCAUCCAGUAUGACAGAGUUAGCACAACAGCUCCAACAUCCUUUUCUUAACCUGUCCCCAGUAGAGAGAAAUGUAUCAAGUCCCCACAUCCCAGCAGUCUCCGGCUUCUCAGACUUCUCCAGGGGACUGUGACCAGCUGGCUUAAAACUGUGCAACCCUGUACAUUUGUUCAACAUUCACAUACUAAAAUGUGUUGCUUCCAAGUCUAUUAAAUGUUCAUCUACAUUUUCUAGUUCCCAUAAUCAAAAAAAAUAGGCUCACUUAUAGUGACAUGAAGGUGUUAAAUUGGUUUUACUAUCUAAAGAAGUGAUAAUGGUACAAAUUACCCUAUUAUCAAUAUAACUGUGACUAUGCUAAACUACACAGUGUAGCCUAAAAAUGGGGGUGUAAAGCAAUGUGAAAAAAAUGUGUACUCCAGCCCUAAGUAUUCCAGAAUAACAGAAGAUAUGAUUUCAAAGUUUCUGUCUGUAUUUGUAAAACAUACACAGCUUUAAGCUGUAUUGAUUUAUGCAAACUGAAUUGUUGGAGUUUAUCUCAUGGUACUUCUAAUUAGGUGUAUAAAACACAGUACUGAAAGGCCAUCCAAAUAUCUUGCAUUGAGGUAUUUAUGAUGAACUGUAAUAAAAGAAAAAAAGACUAUAUAUAUGAACUAUAUAAAUGAACUGAACUAUAAAGAUCAGAUUGUCUUGAUAAUCAGAAGUUUCAGAUAAUUGGGAUAUUUCUUUAUAAAUAAAACAUACUUCAUUUUUAGUUUCCAGAAUUACUUGUUAUAAAGUAUAUUAAACAAAACUGAUGUGUGCUUCCACAUUUUUUUUCCAAAUAUCACUAGCACAAGAUAAAAAUAACUAAAAUCAAUUCUUUCUCUUUAAGUUUCCAUUAUUUUGUGUCUUACCUUGUGUAUUAACAUCAAAGUAAAACUAUUUCCUAUAAUGAACAAGGAAUUAUAUAUGUUGCACCCUGUAACCUUUAUUUUAACAUACUAUAAAAGGUAAUAGUAAUAUUGCAUGCAAUUGUUUGUUUGGUAUCUAUUUGUCAUAGCAAAAAAUAUUGCUAUAUUUCAAGUGUAUCAACCAGUAUUUGGAUGCUAUACAAACACAGAUGUAAGCCAGAUAUUGAUACAUAUCAAUAUGCUUUUAUGUAUUGUGAACUUCACCAUACUGCUCAUUCUUAAAAGGCAUAGGACUAUAAACACAGGAGUUACACACACCAGUUUAGAAUUAACGUAUGAUUACAUACGCUUUAAUUUAUGAAGCAGCAGCUUUGUAAGGAAAUGCUUCUAGAGUUAUUUUACAGCAAACAUUUACAUCUGUUUUCCUUACACUGAACCUCUAAACAUUUGCAUACACAUUCACAUUUGUACAUGUAUAUAGUCCAAGUGGCCUCAAAAGGGCUUUUCACAUGAAAAUUUUUCAGGGCUAAGACAUAAAUACAGCUUUUAAUUGCUGGCCAUGGAGAAGUGUUUUUUAGUAGAGAAGAAAAAAUUACCACCUUUCAGCUCUUAUAUUCCCAGUUAAGGUUUAUUAGGACUAAGACAGUCCUAUACAGAACUGAAUGUUUCAGAGGGAGGUAGUCUGACUUUAUUUCACUGUCACAGAACACGAAGUAAGUAGUGAAGUACCAUUUGUGGAGAAGGGGGAAAUGAAAUCCUUAUUUCCUUACUGUUCUAUUGUACUAAGUGCAAUUUACUUCUGUCUCUUUUUAAAUCUGGGAGUACAUUAACUUGAAAGAAUCUAGCUUAAUCAGAAUUUACCUAACACUUUCUUCAUAUGUACAUUAAAAAUACAUUUAAACUAAAACAGAAUCUAAGUGACUACUUGCCAUUACCAUUUGCCACAGUUUUUCUAUCCAUCCUAGCCAUUACGCUUCAUUUUUAAUCACUGAAAAAGAUGUGAUAUUUUUAAUGGUACCUGAAUUAUGCAUUAAAAGAUGCAAUUCUAAAACCAGGAGUAUUUUGUGUCAUUUCACAUGCAAAAUAUGAAUAGUAGUAAUUAGCUGACCACUGAGUUCAUAACUGAUUUGGCUUAGUGUCUUCCAGAACAUGUCCCAGAUGUUAUUGUAAAGUUUUUAUGCAUGUACAAAAAAAUAAAAAUAAAAACCCCUUCAUGACGCUAACAAAUAGUCUGACUUCUAAGACCAUACACAAGAUUUCAAUUCUUCAUAAAUAUUUGAACAAAUUUAGUAAACAUUUAGAAAACUGUGUACUGUGCUACAGACUUUAAAUGUGACAGCCGACAACAUAAAUUUUCUGGAUGAUGAUCGAGUCAAUGUUAGUGCAGCUGUAGCAACAGUAAGACAUGCAAAAGCUUGAAG